GACGAACGCUGGCGGCGUGCCUAAUACAUGAAAGUCGAACGCAGUGGGGACGGGUGAGUCACACGUGGGUAACCUCCCAUCAGAGGGGAUAACACUUGGAAACAGGUGCUAAACCGAUACUGAUGGAUGGACCCGCGGUGCAUUAGCUAGUUGGUGAGGUAACUGCUCACCAAGGCCACGAUGCAUAGGCGACCGUGGAGGGUGAUAGGCCAGACUGGGACGUAGACACGGACCAGACUGCUACGGGAGGCAGCAGUAGGGAAUCUGCGGCCAGGGACGAAAGUCUGACCGAGCAACGCCGCGUGAGUGAAGAAGUUUUUCGGAUCGUAAAACUCUGUUGUUAGAGAAGCGGUAUCUAACCAGAAAGCCACGGCUAACUACGUGCCAGCAGCCGCGGUAAUAC
rnacentral:rRNA from 1 species